rnacentral:lncRNA from 1 species
CAAAGACCUCCUGGCAGAAGCCUCAGCCACGUCCCAGGGAGAGGCCUUGGCUUGGGGACGGGGCUCAGGGCCUCUGAGCUACCACAAAGCUCAGGGUGAAGGUCCCAGUAUGGAAAACAACAACAACAAGCUCAAGAUUCAGUGCUCAGCUGCAUGUCCUGGCGUAUCUGGAAUAUAACUCCAGGCUUCAUAAACGGGGGGUAUUAAGAAUCUAAAGAAAAUCUUCGAGAAAUUUCCCCAAGAGGAAAGCUAACUAGGCCACAGACCCUUGGCCCUCCGCACAAUAGAGCUGCCUGUGGAUUCCCAAAGAACCAAUGAAUAUCACCCAUCCAAUUCUCUUGAUGCUAAAGAAGAAUCAUUUCCUCCUGUGAAGUAAAGCGAGA